rnacentral:rRNA from 1 species
UACGUAGGGACCAAGCGUUGUCCGGAUUUAUUGGGCGUAAAGAGCUCGUAGGCGGCCCUCCACGUCGGAUGUGAAAGCUCAGGGCUCAACCCUGAGAUGCCAUUCGAUACGGGAAGGCUAGUGGUAGGUAGGGGAAAGUGGAAUUCCUGGUGUAGCGGUGAAAUGCGCAGAUAUCAGGAGGAACACCGGUGGCGAAGGCGGCUUUCUGGGCCUUACCUGACGCUGAGGAGCGAAAGCUGGGGGAGCGAACAGG